CGCACGCAUGACAGGUGUUCGACCAGUCUAUUCUUUUUUGGUGAUUUUGAUUUUCAUCUUCAUUGAAAAGAAUGGAUGGGAGUUCUGAGAUUAUACUGUCAAUACUUGAUCUAGAUAAUGCUAGCGAAAGGACAUGCGUGACUUUGAUU
rnacentral:ncRNA from 1 species